rnacentral:rRNA from 1 species
GAUGAACGCUAGCGGCAGGCCUAACACAUGCAAGUCGAGGGAGAGGUUAUCUUCGGGUAACCAAAACCGGCGCACGGGUGCGUAACGCGUAUACAAUCUGCCUUUCACAUAGGGAUAGCCCGAAGAAAUUUGGAUUAAUACCUAAUGGUAUAUAGGAGCGGCAUCGUUUUUAUAUUAAAGCUACGGUGGUGAAAGAUGAGUAUGCGUUCUAUUAGCUAGUUGGAGAGGUAACGGCUCCCCAAGGCGACGAUAGAUAGGGGUUCUGAGAGGGAUGUCCCCCCCACUGGUACUGAGAUAUGGACCAGACUCCUACGGGAGGCAGCACCUCAUUAAUUUUUUACUUCGGGCUGAAAACUGU